AUUGAACGCUGGCGGCAGGCCUAACACAUGCAAGUCGCACGAGUGGCGGACGGGUGAGUAAUGUCUGGGAAACUGCCUGAUGGAGGGGGAUAACUACUGGAAACGGUAGCUACUACCGCAUACCAUCAGAUGUGCCCCGAUGGGAUUAGCUUGUUGGUGGGGUAACGGCUCACCAAGGCGACGGUCCCUAGCUGGUCUGAGAGGAUGACCAGCCAAACUGGAACUGAGAUGCGGCCCAGACUCCUACGGGAGGCAGCAGGGGGGAAUAUUGCACAAUGGGCGCAAGCCUGAUGCAGCCAUGCCGCGUGUAUGAAGAAGGCCUUCGGGUUGUAAAGCACUUUCAGCGGGGAGGCGGUACCCGCAGAAGAAGCACCGGCUAACUCCGUGCCAGCAGCCGCGGUAAUUC
rnacentral:rRNA from 1 species